ensembl:lncRNA
CCAUGGGCGUCAGUAGCAGUAACAGCGGUUUGUCUAGGCUCGUCUUCAUUGGCGCUCUGGCCAUCUGCAUGGCUUUUGUGCAGUCAGGUGUUGAACCUGAAUUUAGUCUUGGUUUCAGUGCGUACAAGGACAAAGAGAUUGUUUGUUACACUCUAGGGAAAUGCACACAGAGUACAAAUUUCAUUUUUACAGCUACAAAAAGCACAAUUUUUAAAAAAUUAGAAUUGCAAAACAGUUGCCAUUUAUGACCUUCAUACCUUAGUGCUGAAUAGAAUAGUUCCAAAAGAUGUAUUGAAAUGCAGAAACCUGCUCAUAAAGUUGGAUAAAAUGACUUCAAGGCAAUCUCAGACUUUCCCGCCAGAAUACAUGAGGUAAUGCUGCUUUUUUAACACAUUCAAGGUCCAAAAGAAGUGGUGAUUGCACAGUUGCUUGAUAUUUCUUAUGUGAAUGCAUUUAAAUUUAUAUGAAUUCAUAAAUGGUUCCAAAAUCUUUAUGAUCAUGAUGUCACAGUCUGUUUUGAUAAAUUGCCAGAAAUUCCAUACACUCUUAAAG